rnacentral:tRNA from 3 species
GCCGCGGUGGCGGAAUUGGCAGACGCGUACGUUUGAGGGGCGUAUGGUUUUAACCGUGUGGGUUCAAUUCCCACCCGCGGCA